CAUAAAUGAAGGCUCAGCUUUUCCUUGAGCGUGGAAUGUGUUUGCUGGUGUUGCAGGGUCCAUGGGUACAGCUCCUCCUGCAAGUGAGUGUAGCUGCUUUGGAGCUGGUCCUCGGUGCUGGAGUGGUGUAGCCCAGGGCAGUGAUGGUGGCUGGCCCCAUCCCACACCAGACGACUGCGGGCAGGUAGCAGAGACCUGUGUGUAAAGCGGAGCUCACAGCUCUAGUGCGCAGGGCUUGUGCCCACCCUUGCAGCAUCUCCUGGCUCCUGCUCAUCUUCUUUGCUCUUCCCCAGGCAGCCUCCGCCUCUGCACCCCCCUGAAACCUGUAACAAGCUGCACAAACUGCCAAGAGAGAGGAGACCUCUGUGGGAUUGGCAGGUUUCACUGAUCUGCUUAAAAUUCAAGUGCAGAUGGGAAUACAGGAGCCCUGGGAAGGUGGUGAUGGGAGCUGCAAUGUUGUCUCCAAGCAGCAUAUACCAUAGAUUAGUACAGACCAAAUGAUAAAUUUUGGGCAUCUGAUUUCAUGAGGUCAGGUAAGGAAUCCAUCUAAAUGAGUGGUUUCAUCCUCCUGGAUGAAGUACAAUGUGGCAUACAGUGCAAUACCUGCUGUUUCACAGUGAGUUUAAUCAGACCUUGCCUUGGUGCCGCAGGGCAUCAAGUGGGAGCUCUCAAGGGUUUGUUCUGCAGGAUACGGGUGCCUUGGCCCUCUUCUUAUCCCUGUGCUGGGAGUGGGGAAAGGACUUGUCCCCACUGUGCAGAUGUGGCUGCCAGCCUGGGAUCCAUCCUACAGGUGUCCGUCUGUCCAUCCCACAUGGUGCACCAGAGAUAUGUCUGUCCUGCUUUUUGUGCCUUGGGGCCUGGAUGUGAACACUGCCACCAUCUCAAUACAGGGCACUGCUGGCUGCAGGUGGCUUCAGCAUCUUGUUCCAGACUUGUGUUAUCCUCCUGCUGUAGGUGCCCUGUGCCGCCUCCUCUUCCCACCUUCCUUGAAAGGAGACCACUGCUGGGUUUUGUGCUACAAGUCGCUCUGGGUUUGAGGAAGGCUUUUGGCAGUCCUGAAAGAUUCCAGGCUCUGGAGAUCAAAGGGAGUGCUGACAAGCUUGUGUUGCUCCAUGAAGGCAGAGGUAAGCUUCAGGUCUGAAUUUAAAACACCACUGAAACUAAACUGGAAAGACAACGCUGAGGACUGGUGGGUUUCCCCAUGUCAGAAUUUCCCAUAGUGCCUCUGGUGCUCUGGGUGUGGAUGAUGUCUUCUUGUAUUAAUUUUUAUUGUAGGCAGUAAUUUGUGAAUAAUUUCCUAGGUAAAACAAAGGUUGAACUUUUGAAGCAAAUGUACUCGACAUGACCUUUAUAUCUCUUAGUCACUGUCAGGCUUCACUGAGUGCCCUGCACCUUGACAUUCAGUAAAGCAAUAAAGAAACAAAAUGUACUAAUGUAACCUUUAUAAAAAUAUUUAGAAUGAUAGUUUAAUCUCCCACUAUGGUGUUAAAAUAAGCUCAAUAAACUUCGGCAGUAAAUUACAUUCAGAAGAAACUCAGUUUAAAUGACAUUAUGGUUACAAUAGCCAGAAAAUUUUGUCCUGAACUGCUUCAAGAAAAAAAAAACAACCCAUGUUUAGCAUGGGGCUGUUGACCUUUCCAGUUUUGGGAUAAUAAUUGGACAGCUAUUCAAUUUUUGGUAGCUAAUCUGGAACCUUAGAUUCUUUCUUCUCUCAUAUCUUGCCCAAGGAAUCAAGAAGAUGGACAUCUCUCAGCAGCCAGAGCAGAUGAGUAUUACAUAUUUGAGCCACAGCACUGUGUUUAAUUUCACUUUUAUAAAAGAUCCGAACCAAAAUGUAUUAAAAAACUGUUAGAGGGGAAGAUGAAGAAAUGAAACGAAAGAGUGGUUUAAGAUAGCUUAUAAAGUUGUUUGAUAGCAAAAAUAGUUUCUUGGUCUUCAUAUAAAGAGAUGUGGUUUGCUGGGGCAUUAUUACAGAUCAGGUUGUAAAACCAGGCUGAGGUUGUGGCUCUGGAAUACCUACUCCAAACUGAAAAAGCCAUAGGUUUGUAUAUACAAAUGCACAGUAGAAAUGAGUGCUGUGUGAUGACUGAAAUCUGCAUAUGAGAUACAGGUUAUUUAGAAAUGUAUAUACAAGACUAUGUAUUGCAGCUUACAUGGAGGGAUCUUAAAUUAUUUCACAAACAUAUAUUUCUCAGCAUUAUUUUACCCAAAGUGGGUUCCUUCUUUAGUUUGUGGUGAUACAGCAGUCUUCAUCCAUUGACCUGGAUGCAGUUUUCAUCUCUGUUUUCUCUAACUGAACAAAACAGAUUUGGUCAGGUGAGGGAAAUACCCCCAGCAUUGGCUUGGCUGGUUGUUUUAAUCCAUGAGAGGUAUUGACAUUCUACUUGUUCUCUUGCAAAAUAAAAUCCUUCUCCCAUAGAGCCAGCCUUUGAUUGCCUGUAGUGCUUAGAUAGAGCUUGGAGAGGAACCAUAAAAGUACUUUGAUAAAUAGGCAGAACUAAAGAAAACAACGGUGCCUCAGCUCUUCUCGACCUCUCCUGCAUCUAUGCCUGCUAAGCCCAACUGCAGUAUAUCAAGGUGGAAGGGGACAUGUUGCCUGUCAUGGGGGAAGUGCCAGGGAAGCUAAAUACAGUGAGAAAAUACAGUAAUACCACCAUCUCAGCUAGACCAGGAGCUAUUACUGGAGGACUGACUUUAUUUCUUUUAGCUGUCUGGAGGUUUCUGUUUCUGUGAAGCUGAGGAGAGCACAGUGAAGGUGUGGGAGGUAAUGUUCUGUGAGAGGAAGAGAGAGGAAAAGCAGAGUUUGUGCUAACAGGGAGAAUAAGCUGAAGGGCCAGAAAAAAAUCUUGCCUCUGGGCAGUAAAAAGGUGGAUGCACAUUAUAUACUAGUGGGUACUAUUUUCUGGAGAAAUGUUGAUACCUACUAGCAAGUGAUCUGGUUUGUAGUACUAAAGUCUCAUGUUGUUCCUGAUGCUGCUCUAGGCUUAGGCAAUUUCAUGUUUUCUCUAUAAAGAAAUAAUCUUCUGAAUGAGUUUUACUGUAUAAAUUUCAGUGAAUGUAAUUUAAAAAGGAUUCAGUAAGACAGCUCUUUACUCCUUGUAGGAAACUGAGAAGUAAGAAGUCAAAAAUUAGUGAUCUGGUUUCAUGUUAUUAGAUUUCCCCUGAUCAAGGCAGCAGUGAAUAUACUGUAUUAAUAGAGCACCAACUAUGUAGAACAAAUGGAUUAUGAUGUCUUUUUUUAUGAUGGUACUAUAAAUACUUUGCCCCUACAUACCUUUGCCAUUGGAAGUGAAGAAUGACAUUUAAAGAAAGCACAUAAUCUUAUCUCCAUAAACGUUCCUUUCACCUUCUUGUAACUAAUUAGGAACAUGGAGACUUCUGUUAAGCAUCAGACCUUUCUUCUUGAAGAUUAAGGUAGAUGAGUGUGUUACAGAUGCUGAAUCAGAAGGGGUUUCAUGCCUAUGAUUUAUUACUACUACUUUGACCUUAGUCAAAUUGGGGGCAUUUAUACCCUCUUACAAAAGACAUGACUUGUUUGAAGGGGCACAGCUGACAAGAAAGGAGUGGGCUAAAAAUGUGAUACUUCAUGAAAUUAUUUGACCUCAAAUGCCUGGAAGUUAAGAGGAACAUUUCCACUGUCUUGUAAUCUGGACAUGGCUCAGCCAAGGGAAAAGCACACAUUUUGUGGGUUUUCUUUUCUUUUCCUUCUGUUGAAUGAAACAUGCUGUCUAGAAUGAUCUCAUUUCUUGUACUUUAAUUUGCUUCUCCCUUUUUCACUCAGUAAUUUCUCAGUUGAUGUUCAGUUAUCACAAAGAAGCUAAGUUUACAUCUCUGAAAUUUUUUAAAGACUGAGGAGAUCUUUGAAAAGUUAUGAAAAGGAAUUAUGAUGCCCUGAAGUCUGCCAGGAUUAUCCUACUGUCUCUAAGAACUAAUGAGUGAAAAUAUUGUGGGAAGAACAGUAAAGCAAAAGUUUGAACAACACAAAAAGGCAAAUUUAUGAUUGGAAUCUGAAAAUGCUAAAAACUCAAGCUGGAAACAGGAAUGUGCACACAGCACAUUUUUAUUUUACCAUGAGCAAUGCUUGAUUUCAGAUGAAGCAGUUUGUGCAUCACCACAAAUUGAUGGUGUAUGAUG